rnacentral:rRNA from 1 species
CCCUUAGAUGUUCUGGGCCGCACGCGCGCUACACUGAUUCAUUCAUCAAGUCUAUAACCUUGGUAGAAAUGCUUGGGUAAUCUUUGAAACUGAAUCGUGCUGGGGAUUGGAGCUUGUAAUUAUUCUCCAUGAACGAGGAAUUCCUAGUAAACGCGAGUCAUCAGCUCGCAUUGAUUACGUCCCUGCCCUUUGUACACACCGCCCGUCACACCUACCGAUUGAAUGGUCCGGUGAAAUCUUCGGACCGGGCGAUGGUCAGCAAUGGCCGCUGCCUGGAAAGUCGCUUAAACCUUACCAUUUAGAGGAAGGUGAAGUCGUAACA